UCGAUUGGAAAUUACUCUCUUGGAAAAGCCAUAGGAUUUUUUUUUUAAUUGAAACAAUUGAAUAAGUAAAAAUAAAAGUCAUUAUAAUAAUAAAAGACUGUGACAUACAAAUACAUCGAUCUGAUACUAGAAUAUCGACCCCCUUGCCAUAUUCACCCGGAUUUAUUUUAGCUUUACCAAGCUAAGCAAGAGUUGUGUCCCUUAGAUUGUUGAACUUCCGGUGUUCGUUUGAGUCGAACUACGUGUAUCUCGAAAUAUUUCUCUGGGCCGGCUGACUUCGACAUAACGAGAGUCGACUGUAAUUAAA
rnacentral:lncRNA from 1 species